rnacentral:sRNA from 1 species
GGUCCCGCAGAGCCUUGGUACUUGGACCUGAACCUUGCUCCGAGAGGGAGUCCUCGCGGACGUCAGCCAAGAUUCCAGAAUGACUACUAUCUUGACUUACCCCUUUAAAAAUCUUCCCACUGCAUCAAAAUGGGCCCUCAGAUUUUCCAUAAGACCUCUGAGCUGUUCCUCCCAGCUACGAGCUGCCCCAGGUACAGUAAUUUGUAAAAUAAAGAUUUCUGAUUUAAAUGUUAGAUUCCAGAUUCUAUAGUUUGUGAACUCUGAAUAAAAACCAAAACUAAUUUGCUAAUUCUCUCCUUUUUAUGAGCAACAUGAACAUCUCUGUUGCCUUCAAAUUAAAAAAUUAUAGGUCCAAUCAAUAAUGAUACUACAUUAUUUAGGAUUAGGCUUGAGGAUGUUGAUGGGAGGCUGUUUUCUGGGAUUUGAACCUGCUGGAGUCAUGGAGGUUCCAUAAACCUCGUUGGUCAGUUUAUUUAUCCUCUUGCUGUCUGUCCUGGAGAUGAAUGGCAUACAAAUGCUCUUGAGACCUGCUAUGGAACCAAAAGUUAACUUUAAAUGUGCAAUUUGUGAAAUGCUUCUCUAUUGAUGAAUAUCUUCUUCUCCCAUGUGCAAGAGGGCCCAUUCCUGAAAUAGAAGUGAUUAGGAACUAGUUAAUAACAGAAAGUUGUUUAGUU